GAUGAACGCUGGCGGCGUGCCUAAUACAUGCAAGUCGAGCGAACAGACGAGGAGCUUGCUCCUCUGACGUUAGCGGCGGACGGGUGAGUAACACGUGGAUAACCUACCUAUAAGACUGGGAUAACUUCGGGAAACCGGAGCUAAUACCGGAUAAUAUAUUGAACCGCAUGGUUCAAUAGUGAAAGACGGUUUUGCUGUCACUUAUAGAUGGAUCCGCGCCGCAUUAGCUAGUUGGUAAGGUAACGGCUUACCAAGGCAACGAUGCGUAGCCGACCUGAGAGAGGGAUCGGCCACACUGGAACUGAGACACGGUCCAGACUCCUACGGGAGGCAGCAGUAGGGAAUCUUCCGCAAUGGGCGAAAGCCUGACGGAGCAACGCCGCGUGAGUGAUGAAGGUCUUCGGAUCGUAAAACUCUGUUAUUAGGGAAGAACAAAUGUGUAAGUAACUAUGCACGUCUUGACGGUACCCAAUCAGAAAGCCACGGCUAACUACGUG
rnacentral:rRNA from 1 species